rnacentral:lncRNA from 1 species
GCUCAACUAAGAAGCACAACAUCUCGUCGUCUCCCUACAUUUCGUCGUUAACAAUUCAUACUUGUCCCAACUUUGAACCAGAUGCUCCCAACAUAUAUAUACAUCAAAUAAACCUUAACAUAGUCACAAAAUAGCUCAAAACGUAGGGGAAACGUGAAACAACAUCCCCCUCAACAAAACAGUCCAAUACCAGUUUGGAAGCACAUAAGAUCAUAUAAGGAUACUUGUUUCCAAAGAACUAGCAAAACAGUCCAGCAACCUUGGCAACCAUAUACACACUAUAACAUGUUAAUAACCUCAACUUUACAUCAUAUUAAAGUGAAAAAUCAGGGUAAAAAUCGUUCCAAAGCCAAGAAAACCAAACAACAACUUUCAGGACACAAGCUGUCCAGAAAUUCCUGCACAGUGAACCAGCCAACUUAUCUUGUUUUCCAUGGAAAAUUCAUAUCAAGUAUAUGGUUAUUUUUACAUACCUUAACUCCCAAGGUGUAGGUCUAAUUCAAGAACUCAAAAAGUAGCCUUUGGUUGCCUUCCAAGGUGAAGAAAUACCAAGAGAAACUUAGAGAGAAAUUCUGAAAUUUUUUGGUCUUUUCUUUGGUUAACCUAGAGCUCGGUUUUGGUCCCUUUUUAAGGAGACUUUAGACCGACUUUCUCCUAAUAUUUGUAGCUGAUUAACUCAAGUUGGUCAAUGACUAAUUUUCCCCUUUCACUUGGGCCUUUUGGAUCUCUAAAUCAAUGGGCUUUAGUGGCCCAUUUCCUUACUCUUUCUUGCACUUUGUUUGGGCUCAAUUUUGUUAGUAGUGAAUGAAUGUAGUUGGGCCUAUUAUAUAAAAAUCUUGGGCUGAACAUCUUGGCCCAAUAUAAUGUUAAACCAUUGUCUUUAAUAGCCUCCCUAACUUGGGCUUCGUUUGUCACAAGACUUGGAAAGUUUCGGCGUUAAGCCUUGUCUUCGUUCCCCUUUCUUUUUACUAACGUCUAGACUUCAAGUGAGUUCACUUAUGAAUGAAUUCUUCUCCCUCAUGUAUAUAUAAUUUUUAAGCUAAGCACACAGGUGACUCACCUGCUAGCUCCCUAAGUUCCAUAAGCAUGUCAAUGUUUUUUUUUUCCGUUUAAGGCCACAGUCUCUAAAUAGACUUCCAUAUAGUGCCCCAAUCUAACACUUGAACACUUGAAAAAUUUUGGUAGUAAUUAAAUCAAGUCGUAUGUCAUUUUAUGUGAACAUUACUAGUGCAUGUAAAAUGUGGGGUGUUAACAUCCUCCCCCCCUCGGAACAUUCGUCCCGAAUGUUAACAUAACUGUAUAGUCUAGGCAGGUUUGAAUUUCUGGUCACACAACUUUUAAUAACAUAACUAGUAUUCAAACACAUACCUAUUAAUGUUCCUCCUCUGUAUCUUUUGGUCCCUCCUUGUCUUCAAAUAGAUGAGGGUAUUUGGAUAUCAUUACUUCCUCCGGUUCCCACGUUAUCUCUUCUACUUGGUUGUUUCUCCAGAGUACCUUUACUGAUGCCAUUUCUUUGUUCCUUAACUUUUUAACUUGGCGAUCUAGAAUAGCAACCGGUACCUCUUCAUAAGUAAGAUCCUCUGUGACCUGUACAUCUUCUAUAGGAGUGAUACGAGAGGGGUCACCUAUGCAUUUUCGAAGCAUUGACACAUGAAACACUGGAUGAACCAUUGAAAGUUCCUGGGGUAGCUCUAAUUCAUAUGCAACUUGUCCAACCCUCUUGGUAAUCUUAUAUGGCCCUAUGUAACGUGGGCUUAGUUUCCCCUUCUUACCAAAUCUCAUAACCCCUUUCAUUGGUGAUACCUUUAAAAAUACCCAAUCUCCAAUAGAGAAUUCCAGCCCUCUUCUCCGAAUAUCUGCAUAUGAUUUAUGACGACUUUGGGCUGUUUUUAGCCGUUGUUGUAUCACCUGAACUUUUUCCAUGGCUUGUUGGACUAAAUCUGGCCCGAUCAAGGUGGUUUCACCCACUUCGAACCAACCAAUUGGUGACCUACAUUUCCUUCCAUACAAAGCAUCGUAAGGUGCCAUCUUGAUGCUCGAAUGGUAGCUGUUAUUAUAGGCAAAUUCAAUAAGAGGCAAGUGUUCUACCCAGCUACCUUUAAAAUCUAAUGCACAGGUUCGCAACAUAUCCUCAAGUGUUUGAAUAGUACGCUCUGCUUGGCCGUCUAUUUGGGGAUGGAAGGCUGUACUCAAAUUCACUCGCGCCCCUAAACUCCUUUGAAAGGACUUCCAAAAUUUUGCCGUGAAUUGAGCUCCUCGAUCAGAUAUAAUAGAGAGUGGGACCCCAUGUAGCCUAACUAUCUCUUUGAGGUAUAAUUUGGCAUAUUCUUCAGCUGUAUAAUCACUCCUAACUGGCAGGAAGUGCGCUGACUUCGUGAGUCUAUCAACUAUCACCCAUAUGGAGUCAAACUUAUUAACUGAACGAGGCAAACCAGUUACAAAAUCCAUAUUAGUCAUAUCCCACUUCCAAGUUGGAAUCUCUAUACAUUGCAUGUAACCACCUGGCUUUUGGUGCUCUACUUUGACUUGUUGACAAGUAGGACAUUGAGCCACAAACUCUGCUUUGUCAGUGCUCCCCACCAAAACCCUCCCUUUAGGUCAUGAUACAUCUUAGUAGAUCCUGGGUGGAUGGAAUAUCUUGAAUGAUGGGCUUCUUCCAUUAUUCUCCUUCUGAGUCUAUUAACAUCAGGCACACACAAUCUAUUUUGGCAAUAAAGUACUCCAUCUUGUGUAAGCCUAAACUCCUUCAUUAUACCCUGACUUACUUUCUCCUUAAGGCAUUGUAGAAUAGGAUCAUAACACUGUUUUUCUUUCACUUCCCUUAUCAAUGAAGAAUCGGUAGCAUUAUGUACAAUAAUAUCCUUCCUUGGAGUUUCGAGUAGACGAACACCCAGAUUGGCUAGUUGACGCAGAUCCUUAGCCAUGCCUUGCUUUACCCCUUUCUGAUCACUGGUACCCAUGAGUGUCUUACGACUUAGAGCAUCAGCCACCACAUUUGCUUUCCCUGGAUGGUAUAAUAUAUCAAUAUCAUAAUCUUUUAUUAACUCUAGCCACCUCCGCUGCCUCAAAUUUAGAUCUUUCUGCUUGAAAAUAUACUGUAAACUCUUAUGAUCUGUAUAUAUGUCCACGUGUAUCCCAUACAAAUAGUGGCGCCAUAUCUUUAAAGCAAAUACAACCGCUGCUAGCUCAAGAUCAUGUGUUGGGUAGUUUUUCUCGUGUGGUCUCAAUUGUCUCGAGGCAUAAGCAAUCACUUUACCAUGUUGUGUUAGUACACACCCUAAACCAACUCCUGAAGCAUCACAAUACACUGCAUAUCCCUCUGAGCCUUCUGGAAGCACUAGCACAGGUGCUGAGGUUAGCCUACUUUUCAACUCUUGAAAGCUCCUUUCACAUGCAUCAUUCCAUUGGAAUUUGGUUUCCUUGUGAGUUAGCUUAGUAAGAGGUGCAGAUAUAGAAGAAAAACCUUCAACAAACCUUCUGUAAUAACCUGCCAAUCCAAGGAAGCUUCGAACUUCUGUAGGUGUCGUUGGCCUUGGCCAAUCUUUCACAGCCUCUAUCUUUUGUGAAUCCACCCUUAUUCCUUCAUCCGAUACAAUAUGGCCCAAAAAUGCCACUGACUUUAACCAAAAUUCACAUUUGGAAAACUUAGCAUACAACCGACGAUCACGGAGAACUUGUAGCACUAGUCGUAAAUGAUUUGCAUGGUCCUCUUCUGACCUUGAAUACACCAGAAUAUCAUCUAUAAAUACUAUCACGAACACAUCCAGGAAAGGCUUGAACACUCUAUUCAUCAAAUCCAUAAAAACUGCUGGUGCAUUCGUUAGCCCAAACGACAUAACAAGAAAUUCAAAGUGACCAUAUCUGGUUCGGAAAGCUGUCUUAGGUAUAUCCUUUUCCUUCACUCUCACCUGAUGAUAACCUGAUCUCAAAUCGAUCUUUGAAAAGUAUUUGGCACCCUGUAACUGAUCAAACAAGUCAUCAAUUCUGGGGAGGGGAUAUUUAUUCUUAAUUGUCACCCUAUUCAGUUGUCGGUAGUCAAUACACAUCCUCAAUGUGCCAUCCUUUUUACGCACAAAUAAAACUGGUGCACCCCAAGGGGACACACUAGGCCUUAUAAAACCCUUUUCUAACAAGUCUUUCAGUUGCUCCUUUAAUUCACGUAAUUCUGCCGGGGCCAUUCUAUAUGGAGGGAUAGAGAUAGGCUCAGUGCCUGGUAAUAAGUCAAUACCAAAAUCUAUUUCUCGUUCUGGAGGCAAACCAGGGAGUUCCUCAGGAAAGACAUCAAUAAAUUCAUUCACUAUUGGAACAGACUGGAUAGUUGGUGAUUCUGCCUCCACAUCUCUCACUCUAACGAGAUGACAUAUAUAUCCCUUUGAUAUCAUUUUUCUGGCUUUAAAAUAAGAGAUAAACCUCCCUUUUGGUGCCCCAAUAUUGCCUUCCCAUUCAAGGACUGCUUCAUUUGGAAAGUGAAAGUACACUCUCUUGGUUCGGCAGUCAACGGUGGCAUAGCAAGAAGCCAACCAAUCCAUACCCAUUAUAACAUCAAAUUCUACCAUUUCUAACUCGAUAAGAUCAGCUAAUGUAUCUCGGUCGCAGAUAGUCACUAUGCAGUCACAAUAGACUCUUCUAGCUAUAAUUGACUCCCCAGUUGGUGUAGACACCGCAAGUGGUUGAUUCAAUAAUUUAGGUGUUCUACCAAGCUUCCCAGCAACUAAUGGAGUAAUAUAUGACAAUGUAGAACCAGGGUCAAUUAAUGCAUACGCUUUAUGUGAGAAGAUGGACAAUGUACCUAUAACCACAUCGGGUGAAGCUUCCAGGUUCUGUCGAGUCCCUAGAGCAUAUGUGCGAUUUUGGGCCACGCUGGAACUAGCUGCCCCUCUAAUACCUCUGCCGCGACCUAUAGGAAAUUGCUCACCUCUACCUGAUGGAGGCACUGAUGAUGAUGAUGCAACAGCUGAUCCAGUAGGGUGUGCCAUAUCGCCCCUGCGUCUUCUUGGGCAAUCUUUUAUUACAUGCCCUGGCAUACCACACCAAUAACAAACAUCUGUUCCCAUGCGACACGCACCUAUAUGAUAUCUCCCACAUUGUCUGCAAGGCUGCCUAGGAGGCAUUCGCUGGCUUCCCGAAUAUCCUGUUGUCCGUGUACCUUGGCCCUCACUUCUCUGCCCAAAUUGAUCAUUUCUAGACCCUUGAAGUUGUGGUGGAGCACUAGCUGUAGAGUAAGAGGAUGAUGGCCUGGAUGGCCUGUUAGAAAAUCGUGGCCUAAACUCACCCUGGGGUGGUGUAAACUGUCCUGUAGAUCUGGCCCUCUUGGAUUGCCCCCUUUCUAUUUCUUGUGCCCUCCUUCUUUGUCUCUGAUCCUCCAGUUUCUGUGCAAAAGCUUGCAUCCUCGCUAUAUCCAUGUCUUUAUUCAAAGAAGCAAUGGUACAAUCUCUAACCAAAUAUGAAUCCAACCUAUCCACAUACCGAUGGACUCUAUCUGCCAUAGUAGCAACAACACUAGGAGCGUACCUGGCCAGAGAAUUAAAUUUAAGACUAUAUUCCCUCACGCUCAUAUUCCCCUGAUGGAGGUUCAGGAACUGAUCUGCACGGGCCUCUCGGAUCUCUAAUGGCAAGUAAUGAUCAAGAAAGGCCAUUUUGAACUCCUCCCAAGUAGUUGGAGGUGUAUCUAUGCCUUGGAAACAGCAGAUGAGCAAUCCUUUGAAAAUAAUAAAAAUAGAUCACUCAUCGGUUGUACCAAGUAGGUUUUCUGUUGCAACUUAUAACCUACCUGUUACAGCAGAUGAGCAAUCCUUUGAAAAUAAUAAAAAUAGAUCACUCAUCGGUUGUACCAAGUAGGUUUUCUGUUGCAACUUAUAACCUACCUGUUACAGCAGAUGAGCAAUCCUUUGAAAAUAAUAAAAAUAGAUCACUCAUCGGUUGUACCAAGUAGGUUUUCUGUUGCAACUUAUAACCUACCUGUUACAGCAGAUGAGCAAUCCUUUGAAAAUAAUAAAAAUAGAUCACUCAUCGGUUGUACCAAGUAGGUUUUCUGUUGCAACUUAUAACCUACCUGUUACAGCAGAUGAGCAAUCCUUUGAAAAUAAUAAAAAUAGAUCACUCAUCGGUUGUACCAAGUAGGUUUUCUGUUGCAACUUAUAACCUACCUGUUACAGCAGAUGAGCAAUCCUUUGAAAAUAAUAAAAAUAGAUCACUCAUCGGUUGUACCAAGUAGGUUUUCUGUUGCAACUUAUAACCUACCUGUUACAGCAGAUGAGCAAUCCUUUGAAAAUAAUAAAAAUAGAUCACUCAUCGGUUGUACCAAGUAGGUUUUCUGUUGCAACUUAUAACCUACCUGUUACAGCAGAUGAGCAAUCCUUUGAAAAUAAUAAAAAUAGAUCACUCAUCGGUUGUACCAAGUAGGUUUUCUGUUGCAACUUAUAACCUACCUGUUACAGCAGAUGAGCAAUCCUUUGAAAAUAAUAAAAAUAGAUCACUCAUCGGUUGUACCAAGUAGGUUUUCUGUUGCAACUUAUAACCUACCUGUUACAGCAGAUGAGCAAUCCUUUGAAAAUAAUAAAAAUAGAUCACUCAUCGGUUGUACCAAGUAGGUUUUCUGUUGCAACUUAUAACCUACCUGUUACAGCAGAUGAGCAAUCCUUUGAAAAUAAUAAAAAUAGAUCACUCAUCGGUUGUACCAAGUAGGUUUUCUGUUGCAACUUAUAACCUACCUGUUACAGCAGAUGAGCAAUCCUUUGAAAAUAAUAAAAAUAGAUCACUCAUCGGUUGUACCAAGUAGGUUUUCUGUUGCAACUUAUAACCUACCUGUUACAGCAGAUGAGCAAUCCUUUGAAAAUAAUAAAAAUAGAUCACUCAUCUGUUGCACCAUGUAGUUUAUCUGUUGCAACCUAUAACCAACCUGUUGCAGAAAAUAAGUAAUCCAUUAGAAAUAAUAAAAACAUAUCACUUAUCUACUAAAAUAGAUCACUCAUCUUUUGCAAAAUGAGUUAUCUGUUGGAUCAGUAUUGUCACGCCCCAAAUCCUAUUAAGGCGGACUGGCACCCGUUGCCGGUAAGGCUCGGGAGAACCAACCUGUAGCGAUACAUUACCUAUGAACAUUAUAAGUUACUUUCAUACUAAACAUGCCCUCAAAAGAUAAAUAGGACUAGCAAGCCAAAAGAUAUUAUAUGACUAGGCCGUUGGAGCCACAAUGUCUACGGUACGAUACAUGACCAUACUAUACUUUACGUAGUCUACAAAGCCUCUAGACAAGAAACGUUAUCUUAUAAGGGUCGGGACAGGCCCCGCCUCAUGAUAAGAUACUAUACAAUGCAAAAAGAUAUGAUAAGACUCAAAGCCCCGAAGCAACCUGGAGCUCAGUGACUGCGGUUGAUAUCCUGUACUCUUACUAGGGAGGUUUAUUAGCUUCUGUACCUGCAGCAUGGAAUGCAGGUCCCCCAAGAGGGACGUCAGUACGAAAUAAUGUACUGAAUAUGUAAGGCAACAUGUACUAUAUAUGAGAUAAAAACUCAAAUGAAACCAUGUACUGCUGUAGGGUAAAAGACCACCUUUAUGAAUAUUGUGGAGUCAUGUAUCUUAUAACAAUUAUGUUACUUUACUCUUAUUACUUGAAUAAUCUGUGCACAGCAUGUAAUACAAAUGACCAGCUGAUCAGUGGUAAUUCUAUAUCAGGAUCGACCCAUGCUAGGCUUUCCUUUCACCCCUGGGAUACCCCCUGUAAUACUGGGAUUGACCCAUGCUAGGUGAUUCUUUCACCCCUGGGAUACCACCCAACAGAAGCAACUGUAUACAUAUAUCUUCUUAUUACUUUUGAGAUGAAUCUUUGGUGGUCGUAACAUUUGAGCUAUAAGACUAUAAGCAUGACAAAUGACAAGUAUGUGUCCAUGUAACAUCAUAUCAUAAUGAAAAGAGUGGGUUGUACAAUUAGUGAAACAUGUAGGACAUAAACAACGUAUGAACUUUAUUUAGCUAAAAAGAAGACUCAUAUGUCAUGGUACCCAAUGUAUGUAUGCAGCAGUGACAAUGCUCGAAUCUGGACACACAAGUACAUGUUAAAGAGUGGAGUGGUUAUGUCAAAGUUUGUAAAGAUCUCUAUGUGCCAAUGAAGACUUUGGAUUCCAUGCCAAAUAAUAAGAGAUCGAAUAGCCUUACAUACCUCGACAUAUCAACUUGUUUUUACGUCGAAAUGACUUCUUUUCUUCCAACUAUUUAUCUACAAUAUCAUGUUUUAAAGCUAGUAUUAGCAGCUAAUCAAUGCAUCUGGACAGCCCAAUCUCACAAGACACAACACUUUGGCAACAAACGUAUAACCAUCAACUCAAUGGUGUUAUUCCGACUUUCUCAAUUCUAACUGUAUUCAACCAGCAUAGAUUAUCAUAUACAUGAUGUAUACAGCCUAUAUUAGUUCUAUAACAUGCUGGCAACAGUCCAUAACUACAACACAUAACCAUUUUACAAAACGCUCAACUAAGAAGCACAACAUCUCGUCGUCUCCCUACAUUUCGUCGUUAACAAUUCAUACUUGUCCCAACUUUGAACCAGAUGCUCCCAACAUAUAUAUACAUCAAAUAAACCUUAACAUAGUCACAAAAUAGCUCAAAACGUAGGGGAAACGUGAAACAACAUCCCCCUCAACAAAACAGUCCAAUACCAGUUUGGAAGCACAUAAGAUCAUAUAAGGAUACUUGUUUCCAAAGAACUAGCAAAACAGUCCAGCAACCUUGGCAACCAUAUACACACUAUAACAUGUUAAUAACCUCAACUUUAUAUCAUAUUAAAGUCAAAAAUCAGGGUAAGAAUCGUUCCAAAGCCAAGAAAACCAAACAACAACUUUCAGGACACAAGCUGUCCAGAAAUUCCUGCACAGUGAACCAGCCAACUUAUCUUGUUUUCCAUGGAAAAUUCAUAUCAAGUAUAUGGUUAUUUUUACAUACCUUAACUCCCAAGGUGUAGGUCUAAUUCAAGAACUCAAAAAGUAGCCUUUGGUUGCCUUCCAAGGUGAAGAAA